ACCACGUUUGCCGCCGUACCUUCUACCUACGCCAAGAGUUCUUUCAUCUUCAAGUAAGUUCUUUUUUCUUGUCAUCUUCUAAUUAAAGGGGUUUCCCAUUUUUCUUCUUGCCAUUGCCGCCGUGGCCUCUGAUCAGAGUUCGCAAGGCGGAGACUGGGGCAACUCCGCUGAAAAUAGAUUAUCUUGUAGUGCCUUACAUCCCCGUUCUGCUAAGUACGCCUUCAUAGUGUAAUGGCGGUUCUUGUUAGGUUAUUAAAGUCAGGCUCUUAUCAUUCUAUUGUUUAUGGCGUCCAGAUAGUCUGCAGCUUGGUUUCCUUCUUCCAUGAGUUUAGGGUUCGACGCUUUGAACUUCCGUAGUAACCUGAGGGGAGGGGACCUAGGGAGAACCCGGUACCUCUACCACAUUCCUGAUUCAGUGAGCUUGUGGGUUCCCUUGGAGAACGAGUUUGCUAGUACCCCUCUGUCAUAAGAAGUGUGCACGUACGAGGAGUUCUUCAGGGUUGGUCUUCGUUUUCCCAUCCAUCCGCUCAUGGCAGAAAUCUUUGUGAACUAUGGUAUUAGUCCGUCUCAACUUCAGCCGAACGACUGACGCAACUUUUUAGGUUUUUUCACCUUAGUGGAGGGAUUAGAGCCUUCGACCUCAUUCUUCUUUUUCCUAGCGUGUUUUCACAUAAAUUCAUUUGGUGGUCGACGAGAUGGUGUGCCUUGAGCCAACGCCUAGGGAUUAGGGUUGUAGAAGAGAAUCCUUCCUCAGUCAAAGGGUGGAAGACCCAAUUUUUCAUCUCUGGGUUCGAGAGGUUGCUGAUUGGCAACAACUGGUAUGAAUAGAACCUUGCUUCUUUGAAUAUUUACCUUUCCUUAUCGACCUCAGAUGAAUGGAUCCUCCAAGUCUUGAUAGAUUCGGGUCUAAUUCUCAACACUGUCAAGUUGGGUGAUGAUGGUUUCCUCACUCGGUACGGUCUAAGUCCAGUGUCGCUCCACCAUUCGAUACAGGAGGCCUUUGCCUUUCACAAUGCCCAAGCUUAGAGUCGAGGCGUGGCAUUGAGAUUGGAAACUAGGAGGGAGACCGAAGUCCUCUCCAGAGACAAGAAGACGUCGGAAGAAGAGAAGGGUUGAAGUUUCACUUGUUCCCUUGCCGGUCACGAAGAAAAAGUUGCCCGUCUUGGGGGUACUACCCCCAUUGUGCCUACUCAACCUGGAUCGAUGGAAUGGGUUGGUCAGUCGCCUUUACAUUGGCGACCGAAGGAAGCGUCCCCAUUCAUGGUGGUGACGGAUUGUCCCCUGCUGAGGAUCUCCCUUUAUUUACAAGGUUGGGAGAUUCUUUGUGAUGUCAGCCCACCAUGCCAGACAAAUCCUCAAGCCGUGCAAAGGGGACAUGGUUCUGGAGGGUGUGACUACUCCUUCAGCCGUCGGUCACGUUUCCCUAAUGAGGGUGUUUAUGGAGGAAGUGGUUGCCCAGAUCGAGGCGGUUGAGGCAAGAGUUGAUUGCACAGCUCUGGAUGAUUAGAACCGACUAAGAUUUGUUCCCUUCGACCGAUGCCCGGUGUCAGGGAUGAGUUCGUGGCCAGCUUCUGGACUAGGACAUGCCACUUCCCUACGGAUUUCUAUCUUUAAUUGGAAUGUGAGAGGAUUCUUGUGAUUACAAAGGGCCAUGUGUAGGUUAUGGAAUCAAGUGGAUUUGAAUCUGACAUCUGUUAACUUGGAAGCCAGUUGGAUCAAAUCAAGCAGCUAAUUUUGUGAUGCCAGGUGAGAGAGAGAGAGAGCUUAUUGAAAAUGUAUAUGAUGGUAUCAGUUUGAAUUAAACCUACCUUUCUUUCUACCCUAGUAUCUGGGUAAGAUACUGUAGUUAUCAAGAUGGUGUGUAAUUAGCCAUUGCUGGGAAACCUCACCUAAGCUAUUUCUGGAAUGUGGCAUUUUAGAGAUCCAGAAGGUGGGUUUUCCUUGUGACUACAGUUCAUUGAGGAAAGAAUCUCAAAAAUUCCAAUUCAUCAAGAUUAUGGGCCUUGGUUGAUCAGUGAAAGUUUGAGGUGGCAGAUUGGUGUGUGCAUUGUACGCUGGAUUGACCUGCCAAUCCAAUCAAUGAGCCAUAAUGUCAUGAAGCAUUUGGAGAGGUACGACGAUUAGGAGCCAUAGGCGUCAUCGUCUAGACUAACUAUGCGGAGGUAGUAAAUCAGUUUAAGGAGAAUCGAAGUACUUUGCCAUGAGAGGUUUUUUUUUUUUUUGAGUAGAUGUUUUGUAAGUUUUAAUCCGGUGAAACAAUGUCGUGAUCAAGUGGUGGUGACACAUCAGUUAGCUAUCAACUGAAUGGAUCUGUAAUCAGCUUUUAACUUCUCAGUCCUCCCCGUUGUAGUUUUUCAAUGAAUUUCAUUUUCUAUGAUACAAAAAUAAAUAAAUAAAAUAAAAAUAAAAUAAAAAAA